rnacentral:rRNA from 1 species
UACGGAGGGGGCAAGCGUUGUUCGGAGUCACUGGGCGUAAAGGGCGCGUAGGCGGUGUAUCAAGUCAGGCGUGAAAGCCCCGGGCUUAACCUGGGAAUUGCGCUUGAUACUGAUACGCUUGAGAACGGGAGAGGAUGGCGGAAUUCCCAGUGUAGCGGUGAAAUGCGCAGAUAUUAGGAAGAACACCGGUGGCGAAGGCGGCUCUCUGGAACGGUACUGACGCUGAGACGCGAAAGCGUGGGGAGCAAACAGG